rnacentral:rRNA from 1 species
AACGAACGCUGGCGGCGUGCCUAACACAUGCAAGUCGAACGUGAAAGUCCUUCGGGAUGAGUAAAGUGGCGCACGGGUGAGUAACACGUAGGUAACCUGCCGUUUAGAGGGGAAUAACCAGAAGAAAUUUUGGCUAAUGCCGCAUACGAAGUACAAAUCUAAAAGUAGUACUUGAAAGAAUGCCUCUGCAUAUGCAUUCACUAAACGAUGGGCCUGCGGGACAUUAGCUAGUUGGUGGGGUAAAGGCCUACCAAGGCAACGAUGUCUAUCCGGUCUGAGAGGAUGAUCGGACACACUGGAACUGAGACACGGUCCAGACUCCUACGGGAGGCAGCAGUGGGGAAUAUUGCGCAAUGGGGGAAACCCUGACGCAGCAACGCCGCGUGAGUGAGGAAGGACUUCGGUCUGUAAAGCUCUGUUAAUGUGGAAAAAUGAUAGGCGGUCUAAUAGGCCGUUUAUUGGAUGGUACACAUAGA